rnacentral:tRNA from 1 species
GGGGGUUAUAGCUCAGUGGUAGAGGGCAUGCUUAGCAUGCAUGAGGUCCUGGGUUCAAUCCCCAGUACCUCCA